CCCCUGUCCUGCACCUGUUCCUUUGAGUUACAAGCAUCUAUAGAAAGGAAGCUGUGUUGUGUUCUUUGUCUCCUGGGUCCCAAAGCAUGGCUGCUUGUGCCUGAAACCUCACAAAAUCCCUCAUGAAAAUGAUUCUCUCAUCUUCUCUCUGAGGAGCAUCUACCUAUAGACAUUAUCUGCUUGGGCAAUGUUUUCCCCUUUCUUUGCUGCCUUUGCCUGCACUACCCCAGAGAGCUGAUUGUGGACCAUCUUGCUCCAGGCCAUCCUCAUCCUAUGAUGUCAACUCAUGCAAAUAAAUACCUGGAGGAACCACCAGCCAACCAAUUUAUCAGACACAGCCAGGGUGUGCAACCCACUUCAGCCUCUGUUGGGAUUCUUUCAAGAAACACAGAGCAAGACAGGAAAAACAUCUGAAAUAAUGUCUUGAUGCUGCCUCCUCCAUUAAGCCUUCCCUUAUUUACCCAGCCAAAUGUUUCUCUUUAUCCUCAAGCCCUGUUUGGACUUUUUUCUAUGUAGAUAUUGUGUGUUGUUUGAACUCAGUUCUAUAUGUAUGCUUAGUAAACUGAGGGCUCCAUGAAUGGAGGUUACAUAGACUACAUUAAAGUGCCCAGCACACACUACUUGCAUGUGUGUAUAUCUAUACAUUCACACACACACACACACACACAAACACCUUAUCCCCUAGGACUUCCUACACCCCCCUUCCAUCUUUGGAAAUCAGCAGCUGAAGGUUAUUGUUGAAACGAGCAAUUUUCUGCAGGGAUGAGCAUCUCAUCAUUACCUGCCUUUUGUUGCACACAGAAUUCCCUUGACACCUGGGGAGAGGAGAAGUCAGUGUUACCUCUGCAUCAAAUGUGGCACCUGCAGAAAACCUCCAAUGCUGAGGAAGAUUGUGGAAUCUCAGAAUGCAAAUUGUAAUCAGUUUCAUUCUGUGCAUAAUGGCAGCAUCUUCUCAAGGCUGAGGGAACCUGACCUAAUACAAUCACUCUUUGCAAUGAAAUCGAGGAAAGAAUGUCUGGAAUCCAAGGAGUUCUCUGUUGUAUUUUUGGUGCUUCCUUGCUGGUAAUAAUAAUGAACAGGUAAGAACAGUAACUAUAGCCCAACAGAACAUUAUAGCCAGGAAAUCAGACCCAUUGUGGGAAAGGUUUAGAACAUCUCACCAAGGAAACAAUCUAGACCAGCAAAACUAAAAAAAGGUGAGGGUGAGGUAAAUCUUGAUUUGUUGGUGGAGAAGGGAAAUGAUUUACAGCCUUGAGGCCAGCUGUAGCAGUAGGUGCUGACUUGUUUCUCUUGCAAUAAGCCCUUGCAGAAUAUGACUGCCCACCUCCUUGAAGGAGAGCAAUGUGACCGAUUGGAUUAUUGACAUCAGUUGACUGAGUGGCCCAGAAGGCAACUGUAUCAGAUAUUUCAUAUCUUAGAUAUUGUCCAAUAUCUUAGAUAUCAUCCAAUAUCUUAGAUAUCAGAUACUUCAAUUUUACCUUGGCUUCUCCUGUGCUAACUUGUUCUGUGUAGGCCUCAAACUGCUGUAACCUGAC
rnacentral:lncRNA from 1 species